rnacentral:rRNA from 1 species
GAAUAUUGGACAAUGGGGGGAACCCUGAUCCAGCCAUGCCGCGUGUGUGAAGAAGGCCUUUUGGUUGUAAAGCACUUUAAGCGAGGAGGAGGCUACUCUAGUUAAUACCUAGAGAUAGUGGACGUUACUCGAGGGAUAGGCACCGGCUAAGUCUGUGCGAGCAGCCGCGGUAGUACAGAGGGUGCAAGCGUUAAUCGGAUUUACUGGGCGUAAAGCGCGCGUAGGUGGCCAAUUAAGUCAAAUGUGAAAUCCCCGAGCUUAACUUGGGAAUUGCAUUCGAUACUGGUUGGCUAGAGUAUGGGAGAGGAUGGUAGAAUUCCAGGUGUAGCGGUGAAAUGCGUAGAGAUCUGGAGGAAUACCGAUGGCGAAGGCAGCCAUCUGGCCUAAUACUGACACUGAGGUGCGAAGGCAUGGGGAGCAAACA